rnacentral:rRNA from 1 species
UGGAGAAUCCCGUGAACCAUCGAGUCUUUGAACGCAAGUUGCGCCUGAAGCCAUUAACCCGAUGGCGCACCUGCCUGGACGUCACAC